rnacentral:rRNA from 1 species
CUUCGGUACAUCGGUGACAGGUGGUGCAUGGUUGUCGUCAGCUCGUGUCGUGAGAUGUGGUAAGUCCGCAACGAGCGCAACCCCUAUUGUUAGUUGCCAUCAUUCAGUUGGGCACUCUAGCGAGACUGCCGGUAAUAAACCGGAGGAAGGUGGGGAUGACGUCAAAUCAUCAUGCCCCUUAUGACCUGGGCUACACACGUGCUACAAUGGUUGGUACAACGAGUUGCGAGUCGGUGACGGCGAGCUAAUCUCUUAAAGCCAAUCUCAGUUCGGAUUGUAGGCUGCAACUCGCCUACAUGAAGUCGGAAUCGCUAGUAAUCGCGGAUCAGCACGCCGCGGUGAAUACGUUCCCGGGCCUU